GCCUGCCCAGUGACUUAGUUUAACGGCCGCGGUACCCUAACCGCGCGAAGGUAGCAUAAUCAUUUGUUCUUUAAAUGAGGACUUGUAUCAACGGCACCACGAGGGUUUUACUGUCUCCUUUCCCUAAUCAGUGAAACUAAUCUCCCCGUGAAGAAGCGGGGAUAAACCUAUAAGACGAGAAGACCCCAUGGAGCUUUAGACGAAGCUACAAUCCAAUUUUAUACACCUAUUUAUUAAGCAGGAUUUAUGUAAGCUCAGUUUUAGGUUGGGGUGACCGCGGAGUAUAAAUUAACCUCCACGAUAGACGAAACUUUUCUUAUCUAAGAGUUACAUCUCUAAGAAUUAGUAUACUAAUAUUUAAUGAUCCGAUAAUCGAUCAACGGACCAAGUUACCCUGGGGAUAACAGCGCAAUCCAUUUUAAGAGCCCUUAUCGACAAAUGGGUUUACGACCUCGAUGUUGGAUCAGGAUAUCCUAGUGGUGCAGCAGCUACUGAAGGUUCGUUUGUUCAACGAUUAAAAUCCU
rnacentral:rRNA from 1 species